AUUUUAACGGCCGCGGUACUCUGACCGUGCGAAGGUAGCAUAAUCACUUGUUCUUUAAAUGGGGACUUGUAUCAACGGCAUCACGAGGGCCAUACUGUCUCCUUUCUCCAAUCAGUGAAACUGAUCUUCCCGUGAAGAAGCGGGAAUUAACCUAUAAGACGAGAAGACCCCAUGGAGCUUUAAACCCAACAACAAGUCUAAAUAAACACACCCUAAAAAUUAAUGACACCUGAACUGUUGGUUUUAGGUUGGGGUGACCGCGGAGUAUAAACUAACCUCCACGACGAACGGGAUUAAACCCUUAUCUACGAGCCACCGCUCUAAGAAUCAGCACACUGACUUCUAAUGAUCCGAUAUUCGAUCAACGAACCAAGUUACCCUGGGGAUAACAGCGCUAUCCAUUUCAAGAGCUCCUAUCGACAAAUGGGUUUACGACCUCGAUGUUGGAUCAGGGUAUCCUAGUGGUGCAGCCGCUACUAAAGGUUUGUUUGUUCAACAAUUAAAACCCUACGUGAUCUGAGUUCAG
rnacentral:rRNA from 1 species